rnacentral:lncRNA from 1 species
GCAGUGGAAAAUGUUACACAGAACCUUGAAAAUUAGACUUACAUCAACUUUUGCCAGUAUACUUCUGCCAAGAUUAAAAAAUCAGGAUCGAAGCAAAGACAAACACCAUAAAAUGAUGACAAUAUGGGAGGGAAACUGCAGCUGGCAGGUCUGGAGAAUCGCUCAACUACAUUCACAGCUUUACUUGGAGUCAAGCAAUGGCAAGAAAAGUCUUCAUCUUCACUAUGCACUGGACAACACGGAGAAAUGCUGACUUUGAGGUGUUUAAAUUUCAUCCUUUGAGGAUCAGUUCAAUUAACUUCUCCUAAAGGAAACCAACCCCCACAAACAAAAGAUUUACACCCACUGAAACUGAGAAACACUUAUCAGAAUCUGUCAUUUCAUAGAAUAUUGACUUGUGACAGGUCUUACGACACUGUCUAGUUCUAUAGCACUGUGCUUAUUUCUUUUCCAUCCAACCUUUGUACUCCCCACUUUGUAU